rnacentral:rRNA from 1 species
GAUGAACGCUGGAGGCGUGCCUAAUACAUGCAAGUCGAGCGAAUGGAUUAAGAGCUUGCUCUUAUGAAGUUAGCGGCGGACGGGUGAGUAACACGUGGGUAACCUGCCAAUAAGACUGGGAUAACUCCGGGAAACCGGGGCUAAUACCGGAUAACAUUUUGAACCGCAUGGUUCGAAAUUGAAAGGCGGCUUCGGCUGUCACUUAUGGAUGGACCUGCGUCGCAUUAGCUAGUUGGUGAGGUAACGGGUCAACAAGGCAACGAUGCGUAGCCGACCUGAGAAGGUGAUCGGCCACACUGGGACUGAGACACAGCCCUUACUCCUACGGGAGGAAGCAGUAGGGAAUAUUCCGCAAUGGACGAAAGUCUGACGUAGCAACGCCGCGUGAGUGAUUAAGGCUUUCGAGUCGUAAAACUCUGUUGUUAGGGAAGAACAAGUGCUAGUAGAAUAAGCUGGCACCUUGACGGUACCUAACCAGAAAGCCACGGCUAACUACGUGCCAGCCGCCGCCGUAA